rnacentral:rRNA from 1 species
CAGUCGCCGCGGUAACACAGAGGGUGCGAGCGUUAAUCGGAUUUACUGGGCGUAAAGCGUGCGUAGGCGGCUUUUUAAGUCGGAUGUGAAAUCCCUGAGCUUAACUUAGGAAUUGCAUUCGAUACUGGGAAGCUAGAGUAUGGGAGAGGAUGGUAGAAUUCCAGGUGUAGCGGUGAAAUGCGUAGAGAUCUGGAGGAAUACCGAUGGCGAAGGCAGCCAUCUGGCCUAAUACUGACGCUGAGGUACGAAAGCAUGGGGAGCAAACAGGAUUAGAGACCCCAGUAGUCCCUGUCUCUUAUAC